AUUCAUACAGUUAGUAUCAGUCUUUUGAUCUGUUACACAUGGAGUUAGUGCAGCAGGAUUUCAUUUACAUUAGAAGCAGACAUGGUGCUAUCAAAUUUCCUCUCUUGUACGCAAUACCCCAUUAGAAGUGAACAACUUGGGACUUGUCACAUCAGACUGGGGAACUUUUUUUUGGCCAAGUUACUGCAGACAUGUUUCAGAUGGUGCAGCCAGUACCAACAAUAACAGCAGGCAAGAAACUGUAACAUUUGCUUUCAUUUUUACAUUAAAAAAAAUGUCUUCUCAUUUUUUUAACAUAGCAAAAAUGUAGGUUUUUUUACAGGUUUUUAUGAAUUUAUAAUUGGCAUGGCCUGAAAAAAAGGAGCAUUGUCAUUCAAAGAGGAAACAGUUUGGAUAGUGUAGCAAUCCUUUCUCUGUAGACUUGUCUUCAAUGUACCUUAAUUUGGAAUUUGCAGGACAUAAUGGAGAGAAAAUAAUCAUGGUUUUAUGUUCAUUCAGGCGUGAGUUGCAGCAUCAGAGAUGUCUUUCGUGUGAACAUUUGUAUGCAGGUAGUUGAUCGAUGACUGAUUCUUGGCCAUUAUAAAUAGGUGGAGCUUCACAGCAAUCAGAGGCCUUGGAGCUAUUUGCUGCUGAUGAAGACCUGGAGCCAUAGCCUGAGGUCAGCUCAUCCUAUGGAUGUAGGUCCCCAGACUAGACCAACCUGGCCUGCAACAUUCCCUCAGCAAAGCCCUACCCCCACUGCUGUAUCCUUGCUCAUUCUGAUGUUUGGUCUUAUUCAAAAACGUUUUUACUCCAGACCUACAAGAUUGCUAUCUUUUCAUCAUUUCAGUCACAGAGAAUUUGGAGAUAAUCUUAUGCACAAAUGUCAGGAGAGUACCAGAGGACAACAAGCAUUCAAUCAUCUUGAAGUUGGCAACUUUCAAAUGGAGCUGGAGAACACCUGUGCUUCAACACAAAUCAAUGCAAAUGCAUAUAAAGCAAGCCCAGGCUUAAAGACUCUUAAGCAAUGAGUUGGUCCAGACUUUGUUGAUAUCAGUAAGGUUUCUUCUGUGUUGACAGAGGUUAAAGCCAGAUAAAAAGACCAAAUGAGUAAUGCAGAGAUGUCUUACUCCUGCAGAGGAAGGUUUCUGUCUUAAACUAGCCAUGUUACCAGAGCAUUGCAAAUCUGGUGCUUUUUAACUUAAAGAGGUGUUUUUAAGGCAACUCCUUGAGCUGAACUUUGCAGGGACCCUGGACUUCUGCACACUUCCUUCAGUCUUUGGGAUAUACAAGUCUUUUCAAAACUCUUUCCAAUUUGAGUAGUGCUGUUUUCAGCAUUAUAGUUGCUACAAUUGUAGCUGUUGUCCAGUGUUCAGCACCUGCUGUGAUUCAAACCUCUCAGUUUCAUCUGUAAGAGGUAAUCUAGAGAUGCAUAGCUCAAGGUGGCUUAAUGCUACAGCACUCUGCUCUGCUGGCAAGGACGCUGUUUGUCUCAGUCCAUUUAUCUCACUGUUUGUCUGGUUCCCAUUCAUAAUGCCAGAGAGAUUUGCACCUAUUAAGAGUUGCACUUAGUUAAUUUUCAAAUACUUUCUUUAAAAUGGCAAGUACAUUAUUUGUAUUUGAGCAUGACUUUAUAAUUUGCUUCAUUUAAAUAUUCUAAUAGCUUUAUUGUUGAGGUUAAGCUUUCAGAUGCAGAUGACAACUGAACCAUGAUCUGGAAAUAAAGACACAUAAAACAUCUGAACA
rnacentral:lncRNA from 1 species